rnacentral:rRNA from 1 species
AACGCUGGCGGCACGCUUAACACAUGCAAGUCGAACGCUCUCGACCUUCGGGUCAUAUGGGAGAGUGGCGAACGGGUGAGUAACACGUGAGAAACCUGCCUCAAAGAUCGGGACAACCACGGGAAACUGUGGCUAAUACCGAAUACCUUCCUUCAGUCGCAUGGCUGGUUGAAGAAAUGCUCCGGCGCUUUGAGAGGGUCUCGCGGCCUAUCAGCUUGUUGGUGAGGUAACGGCUCACCAAGGCAUCGACGGGUAGCUGGUCUGAGAGGACGAUCAGCCACACUGGGACUGAGACACGGCCCAGACUCCUACGGGAGGCAGCAGUGGGGAAUCUUGCGCAAUGGGCGAAAGCCUGACGCAGCGAUGCCGCGUGGGGGAUGAAGGCUCUCGGGUCGUAAACCCCUUUCAGCAGGGACGAAAAUGACGGUACCUGCAGAAGAAGCCCCGGCCAACUACGUGCCAGCAGCCGCGGUAACACGUAGGGGGCGAGCGUUGUCCGGAUUUAUUGGGCGUAAAGAGCUCGUAGGCGGUUCGGUAAGUCAGGUGUGAAAGCCCAAGGCUCAACCUUGGGACGCCACUUGAUACUGCUGUGACUAGAGUCCGGUAGAGGAGAUUGGAAUUCCUGGUGUAGCGGUGAAAUGCGCAGAUAUCAGGAGGAACACCAACGGCGAAGGCAGAUCUCUGGGCCGGUACUGACGCUGAGGAGCGAAAGCAUGGGGAGCAAACAGGAUUAGAUACCCUGGUAGUCCAUGCCGUAAACGUUGGG